AUUCCACUUUAUGAGUUCCUUAAAGAUGUACAGGCUUCUGAUGAGGAAGUAGUUAGGACCCUGAAAUGCAUGAGAAAUGCUUAUACUAACUUUUUGCAGAACAGCUUUUCUAAAAAUUUAUCACUCUUAAGAGAGCUUGGAGUCCCUCAUCUUCCCUAUCUUACUUGGUCACUAGGGGAGAGCAUUUAGUCGGUUCAGUUCUGA
rnacentral:misc_RNA from 1 species